AACGAACGCUGGCGGCAGGCCUAACACAUGCAAGUCGAGCGCCCCGCAAGGGGAGCGGCGGACGGGUGAGUAACGCGUGGGAACGUACCUUUUGCUUCGGAAUAGCCUCGGGAAACUGGGAGUAAUACCGAAUGUGCCCUACGGGGGAAAGAUUUAUCGGCAAAAGAUCGGCCCGCGUUGGAUUAGGUAGUUGGUGGGGUAAUGGCCUACCUAGCCGACGAUCCAUAGCUGGUUUGAGGGGAUGAUCAGCCACACUGGGACUGAGACACGGCCCAGACGGCGACGGGAGGCAGCAGUGGGGAAUCUUAGACAAUGGGCGCAAGCCUGAUCUAGCUAUGCCGCGUGAGCGAUGAAGGCCUUAGGGUUGUAAAGCUCUUUCGUGGGGGAAGAUAAUGACUGUACCCCAAGAAGAGGCCCCGGCUAACUCCGUGCCAGCCGCCGCAGUAGAAC
rnacentral:rRNA from 1 species